AUGAUUUGGAGUCUGAUACCUGCCAAGAAAUUAGGACCCCAAAAGGAUACCCCAGGAAUAAAGAUGAACCAGGUUUGCUGGGCUCAGCCGGGCAGUUCCGCUGGACUUGCCGGGGGAUCACUUAUGAGCCAGAUAGGGGAGAUAAAUCACAAAAAUUCAGGCGCUUGCCACUGGGUGGUGUUUUCUAGGAGGGUGGGAUAUCCAGUCAUCUGGAACCUGUUGGUAUGUUCCCAUCUAGGUGAAUGCCAUCUUGCUUCUCAUCUUGCAUAACCAACCACUAAGAAAGGAGGCACGUCAUGUAGUAGACUUCUUUGAAUUUUGAUACCUUGUAGAGCACAUUUGAGUUUACUGCUCUCAUAUGUUUACUGAGUAACCUAAAAGACCCAAUUUUGAGUAAGGCCUAAGCAGUGAUUCUCAUUUUGUUUUCAGAACAUUUUGAGUCAUGAACUUUUGUCUGUGUGGAUUAUGCAUAUUUAUACUUUUCAUGUUAGAGGUUAAAUGGAAAAAGUUAAAAAUUCAUAAACUGUGCUUCCUGGAAUUGAUACUUACAUAUUUUUUUCUUUUUCUUUCUUUUUUUUUUUUUUGAGAUAGUGUCUUGCUCUGUUGCCCAGGCUGGAGUGCAGUGGCAUGAUCAUAGCUCACUGCAGCCUUGACCUUCUGGGUUCAAGUGAUCUUCUCACCUCAGCAGGGACCACAAGCGUAUGCCACCACGCCUGGCUAAUUUUUGUAUUUUUUGUAGAGAUGGAGUUUCACUGUGUUGUCCAGGCUGGUCUUGGACUCCUGAGAUCAAGUAGUCCACCUGUCUCAGUCUCCCGAAGUGCUGAGGUGCAGGCGUAAGCCACCGUGCCCGGCCCUGAUACUUGUAUUUUUCUAGUACCAGCUUAAAUGCUUUGACUUUGCCAUAUUUUCUCAUGGAGACUCCCAGGGCUUUUAAUGUCUCCAGAAUAUAUUUUUCCAUUUUCCUAAGACUAAGCUCCAAAAAAUCCACUAAAACAAUUCUGCAAGAAACAGAUGAAGAGGACUUUGAUGAAGGUGGUCAGAAUGAGAUGAGUGAGCAGGAAGAGGAGUGUGAGAAUAACUCCAGUGUGGCCAAAGACUAAAGACCUUGAAAAAUUGUGCAGUCUUGUGUGCCACGUUCACAUGAAGACGGGCCUAGAUUUUGGAACAGUCGAAGAAACAGUUCACAAAGGGUGCACUAAGGCUGAAUGGGGAACAAUUGUGGCAGAAAAGCAGAAUGAAGCCCCCAAAACCCAUUGUAUUUUGUCACCAU
rnacentral:lncRNA from 1 species